GGAUAGCUCAGUCGGUAGAGCGCAAGGCUCUUACAUGCAAGGUGCAACCUUGUGGUCGAGGGUUCGAGCCCCUCUCCG
rnacentral:ncRNA from 13 species